rnacentral:rRNA from 1 species
UACGAAGGGGGCGAGCGUUGUUCGGAUUUACUGGGCGUAAAGGGCGCGCAGGCGGCGAUUUUUGUCAGGCGUGAAAGCCCCGGGCUCAACCUGGGAACUGCGUUUGAUACGGGAUUGCUAGAGAUCGGGAGAGGAGAGUGGAAUUCCCAGUGUAGAGGUGAAAUUCGUAGAUAUUGGGAAGAACACCAGUGGCGAAGGCGGCUCUCUGGACCGAUACUGACGCUGAGGCGCGAAAGCGUGGGGAGCAAACAGG